AUUGAACGCUGGCGGAAUGCUUUACACAUGCAAGUCGAACGGCAGCACGGGGGCAACCCUGGUGGCGAGUGGCGAACGGGUGAGUAAUACAUCGGAACGUGCUCAGUCGUGGGGGAUAACGUAGCGAAAGUUACGCUAAUACCGCAUACGAUCUACGGAUAAAAGCGGGGGACCGUAAGGCCUCGCGCGAUUGGAGCGGCCGAUGUCAGAUUAGGUAGUUGGUGAGGUAAAGGCUCACCAAGCCGACGAUCUGUAGCUGGUCUGAGAGGACGACCAGCCAACCUGGGACUGAGACACGGCCCAGACUCCUACGGGAGGCAGCAGUGGGGAAUUUUGGACAAUGGGCGCAAGCCUGAUCCAGCCAUUCCGCGUGCAGGACGAAGGCCUUCGGGUUGUAAACUGCUUUUGUACGGAACGAAAAGGCUCUGGUUAAUACCUGGGGCUCAUGACGGUACCGUAAGAAUAAGCACCGGCUAACUACGUGCCAGCCGCCGCAGUAA
rnacentral:rRNA from 1 species